UCUUCAAUUCAUGAAGAAAUGCACAGAGCUCAUGUGGAUGUUUACGGCAUAGAGGCAGAAGACACAUGGUUACAAGUUGUAAGAAAUCUAAUAAGGACCUUUUUUUAGUAACAACAGCCAGUUUUUCAAAUGCGUAGUAACAAGUUUCACAAAGAUGCAAUCACACCAAGUGUGCUUGGACAGAUGAAAUACCAAGAUACAUUCUCACCAUGGUGACCUACAAGAGAACUGUCAUAACAGAGGCGGCUGUUGCCACUACAGCUUCCAGAACUCCUGCUGUUGAUGCUGCUACAUAAGGAAAAUCUGCUGCCCUUUUCUGCAGUUAUUGGCUGAGCUCUGUCUGAAGAUCAGAUUGCAGCUUGAGGGCAAUGUUCACUCCUUACUGCACAUCAGUAGCAAAGGGAGCAUAAGAGCAAUCAAGAUGCAUGCGAGGCUGAGGAACAGAGCAUGAGAGGGACUACUUUUCUGAGGCUUUUAGUCUGCAAAACAAAUAUGCAAGAAGAAGAAGCCAGUCUCUCUGGAACAAGGUGUCAGAAUUAUAGGACUUUGAUAUUUUAAAAGCAACAUUUUUAGAAAUGGAAGGGACCCCAAAGGAGAUCUGACUAACCUGGCCAGUACCAGAUGCUAUUAAAUCCCUUCCCACACCCUGGGGCGGCAAGUGUAUGGGCCCGUGGUGCCCGGGCUCCAGGAAUACUCGGGGCCCGGGGGCCCAGCUACACCAAUUUUCUGAGCCGGGUCUCUCCCCGGGUCCUGCCUGCUGACCCUGCGUGCUGCCCCCGCAUGCCUCCCUCAGCCCCUGCCUGCCAACCCUGUGUGCCUCCCCCAUAGGGUGACCAGACAGCAAGUGUGAAAAAUCAGGACGGGGGUGGGGGAUAAUAGGAUCCUAUAUAAGAAAAAGACCCAAAAAUCGGGACUGUCCCUAUAAAAUCGGGACAUCUGGUCACCCUACUCCCCCAGGCCCCGGAGCGUCCCUGCCUCAAGUGGGCAGCUGCCCUGCAGCUCUGCGCUCCCUUGCCACCGCUGCUGCCUACAACACAAGAGUAGCGCCACCGGCUGGCUGAGGCGGCUGCUGCACCUGCGGAGGGAGGAGGGAAGGAGGCACACACAUGACUGGCAGCCCUCCCCUCCCCCGCACCCACCGGGAGGUGAUGCCGAAGGGGCUUCCAGCAGAUGGGGUCUGGACCUUACCUGAGCAGCUGCUGGGGCUGGGGUGAGUGUCUGACAAUGUGAUCCGCAUCCCCCCGCUGCCUGCAGCCACCACUCCUGCCCCACGCUGGGCAAGGGGCAGCCCCAUCCCCUGUGAGGCUACGAUGAGGGGCAGCAGGCUGCAGCAGGGGAGGGGGCCACAUGUAAUGGCAACCCUCCCUCCCCCAGCACCCACUACGGGGGAGGUGAGAGGGCUUCCUGGACCUGAAACGGGCUGGCCCCUAGCAGCACAUGCAGUGAGGGUGCUGGGUGAGUGUGCUGCCAGGGAGGGGGAGGGCUUGAGGACUGUGGAAUCCUCCUGUCUGGCCUCAGCCCCAAGGCAGCCUGCCUGCACCCCAAACUCCUCAUUCCCAGCCCCGCCCCACACUAGAGCCUGCACCCCCAGCCAGAGCCCUCACCCCCCACAGCCCAACCCUCUGCCCCACUCUGAGCCCCCUCCUGCACCGUGAACCCCGCAUCCCUGCCCCCACCCCGCAGCCAUCACCCCCACACCCCAACCCUGUGCCCUAGUCCUCAGCCCCCUCCCCUCACACCUCAAACCCCUCAUCCCCAGCCCCACCCCAGAGCCCGCACUCCCAGUCAGAAACUGUUUAAUAGGGAAACUGUUAAACGCUUAUUGUUUCUAGUCCAUUUUUACAUUAUUUUAAAAUAUAUAUACUGGCUUACAAGGCAGGUGUGUGUGUGGGGGGGGAGCUUGGACCCUUUCUGGGUACCACCAAAAAUUAUACAAACCUGCCUCCCCUGCCCACACCCAAUAAUGAAACAAUAGUGAUCUGGUGAAAAAUAUAGCAGGAAAUAUAGUGUGAAAAGGGGUGGUGUGGAUGGAAAGUAAUUAAAAAGACUUUGGGAUUCUAUCUUUCUAAAAGAAAAAUAAAGCAAUUUAUAUCUAAGUUACCAAGAAGUCAAUGAAGCAGAAACCCACCAUGAACUAGCCAGCACUUUUAGAUUCGAGAUGGGAGAGAGAUCAAAGGACAGAAACAUAGAUGAAUCACCGUGGGAUAGGAGUAUGAUCCAUAACUGACCACAAGAGCAAGAAAAAUGAAGCAUGUAAUCCAGAACUAUAAAAGCACCACCAAACUUGGCAUACUAAAGAGAGAGGCCACAGUUUCCCAGAGAAGCUGCCAGCCUGGAGAAGGAGUGGGCAGCAUGAGGGUAGGUAAGAACUGUUUUCUCCAAAGAUAUGAACAGUGUAGCAGAACAGUUUCUGGAGCCCCCUACUGACAUGAUUAAGUGCUUGAUCCUACUCCUGUUGGGAGAAGGAUCAUUGUUUAGACCUGAUUUUCUGUUGCCUGUGACUUGGGUAGUUAUAUACCACAAGAGGUUAAAAAGCAAAUGGCUCCAGAACAAGUCCAGGCAACACAGAAGUCUAGACCUGUUCAUUUUAUACACUCCUUUCCCCCUCACCUCUUUUGAAUAAAUGCUUGUAGAUUCCUUACAAAAAAUAAAUAAAGUACCUUGAAAGUGGA